UACAGAGGUCCCAAGCGUUGUUCGGAUUCACUGGGCGUAAAGGGUGCGUAGGCGGUCGGAUAAGUCUGAUGUGAAAUCUUCGAGCUCAACUCGGAAACUGCAUCGGAAACUAUUCGGCUGGAGGAUUGGAGGGGAGACUGGAAUUCUCGGUGUAGCAGUGAAAUGCGUAGAUAUCGAGAGGAACACCAGUGGCGAAGGCGGGUCUCUGGACAGUUCCUGACGCUGAGGCACGAAGGUCAGGGGAGCAAACGGG
rnacentral:rRNA from 1 species